AGGCCAGACUCCUACGGGAGGCAGCAGUGGGGAAUAUUGGGCAAUGGGCGCAAGCCUGACCCAGCAACGCCGCGUGAAGGAAGAAGGCUUUCGGGUUGUAAACUUCUUUUAAGAGGGAAGAGAAGAAGACGGUACCUCUUGAAUAAGCCACGGCUAACUACGUGCCAGCAGCCGCGGUAAUACGUAGGUGGCAAGCGUUAUCCGGAUUUACUGGGUGUAAAGGGGGCGCAGACGGCAGCGCAAGCCAGGAGUGAAAGCCCGGGGCCCAACCCCGGGACUGCUUUGGAAACUGUGUAACUGGAGUACAGGAGGGGCAGGCGGAAUUCCUGGUGUAGCGGUGAAAUGCGUAGAUAUCAGGAGGAACACCGGUGGCGAAGGCGGCCUGCUGGACUGCGACUGACGUUGAGGCCCGAAAGCGUGGGGAGCAAACAGGAUUAGAUACCCUCGUA
rnacentral:rRNA from 1 species